AAAGCACUGACUGGGAGCUUCAGUAGUCAGAAGGUUUCUGUUAUGGCAGUUCUGCAAAGCUCCAUGAGGAAACCAUCGUUUAAAACAAUGUCUUUCUGUUUGUUGAUAGUUUUAAUGGCAUUUAUAGGUGCCAGUAUACAAGACAAAAUUAAUCCAACAUCUCCUGCUGUCCAUGCAAAGGACAAGGAAAAAGUGACUAUUUCUUGUGAAUACCAGUACACAGUGUCGAUGAAUAAUCUACAGUGGUAUCGACAACACCUCAACAAUACCUCACCGGAAUUCCUGAUUCUAAUCAUGGAGUCGGGACAAACACAGAACGCUACACCUCCUCAUCCUCGGCUGACAGCUUCAGUUGAUAAAGCAAACAAGAUGGUGAAUCUAGAAAUCUUCCCUGCAGAUGUGGCGGAUUCUGCAAUGUAUUACUGUGCACUGCAGCCCACAGUUGGAGGAAACACCAUGAACACCAUACAAAAACCUGCUCAAAGCUAAAAGGUUUAGAGAAAGUCUGCACACAUACCACAAGAGGGCAACACUUUUCAAGACUCAACAACAUUGCAUGUAGAAAGUUGAAAUAUUGUAGCCUACUAUCAACCACAUACUAACACCUCAAGGGAUUGUAAACAGAAGCACACGGCUGAU